rnacentral:rRNA from 1 species
AACAAGAAACGCGGGAGCGGUUCCUCCUCACACUUUCCACGCAUGUCAUGCAUGCGAGGGGGCGUCCGUGAAUUUUACUGUGACCAAAAAAGUGCGACCAAAGCAGUCCGCCGACUUGAAUUACAAAGCAUGGGAUAACGAAGCAUCAGCCCUAGGGCCACCGUUUCGGCUUUUUGUUGGUUUUAGCAGCCAUUGGGAGAUUAUGGGAGCCCGUGCCCGGGGCUAUGCCCCCGCCUCAUGGCGUGCCUGGCAUAUUCGCCCCUUCUCCCCCCUGCGCGCCUCCCCUGGUGGGGAGAGUGUGGUGGGGGGGAGACGCGCGGUUCCCAGGAAUGAAGGAGGGUAGUCGGGGGAGAACGUACUGGUGCGUCAGAGGUGAAAUUCUUAGACCGCACCAAGACGAACUACAGCGAAGGCAUUCUUCAAGGAUACUUUCCUCAAUCAAGAACCAAAGUGUGGGGAUCAAAGAUGAUUAGAGACCAUUGUAGUCCACACUGCAAACCAUGACACCCAUGAAUUGGGGAGCGCUACUGUGGUUCCCCGUGCUUCGGCGUCUUCGUGACGCCGUCUCACGGUCCCAGUACUUAACAAUUUACGUGCCUAUUCUUAUAUUCCGCCUGGCGUGCUUCGUUGUACGCCAUGGCGGUUCUUACGGGAAUAUCCUCAGCAC